UGGUGUAGCUCAGUUGGUAGAGCAACUGAUUCGUAAUCAGUAGGUCGCCGGUUCAAGUCCGGCCAUCA
rnacentral:tRNA from 1 species